rnacentral:rRNA from 1 species
UUGGAGGGCAAGUCUGGUGCCAGCAGCCGCGGUAAUUCCAGCUCCAAUAGCGUAUAUUAAAGUUGUUGCAGUUAAAAAGCUCGUAGUUGAAUUUCGGGAUCGAUGCGUCGGUCGUGCCUUCGGUACGUACUGGCGUCAUCGAUUCCUCCCUUCUUGAAGAACCGUGAUGUCAUUAAUUUGGUGUUACGGGGAAUCAGGACUGUUACCUUGAAAAAAUUAGAGUGUUUAAAGCAGGCUAACGCUUGAAUACAUUAGCAUGGAAUAAUGAAAUAGGACGUUCGAACCUAUUUUGUUGGUUUCUAGGAUCGACGUAAUGAUUAAUAGGGAUAGUUGGGGGCAUUAGUAUUCAAUUGUCAGAGGUGAAAUUCUUGGAUUUAUUGAAGACUAACUACUGCGAAAGCAUUUGCCGAGGAUGUUUUCAUUAAUCAAGAACGAAAGUUAGGGGAUCGAAGACGAUCAGAUACCGUCGUAGUCUUAACCAUAAACUAUGCCGACUAGGGAUCGGAUGAUGCUUAUUUUUUAAUGACUCAUUCGGCGCCUUACGGGAAAC